rnacentral:rRNA from 1 species
GUAGUCCACGCUGUAAACGAUGAUUACUCGAUGUCGGCGAUAAACUGUCGGCGUCUUAGCGAAAGCGUUAAGUAAUCCACCUGGGGAGUACGCCCGCAAGGGUGAAACUCAAAGGAAUUGACGGGGGCCCGCACAAGCGGUGGAGCAUGUGGUUUAAUUCGAUGAUACGCGAGGAACCUUACCUAGGCUAGAAUGCGCGUGACCGCCUCAGAGAUGAGGCUUUCCUUCGGGACACAAAGCAAGGUGCUGCAUGGCCGUCGUCAGCUCGUGCCGCGAGGUGUUGGGUAAAGUCCCGCAACGAGCGCAACCCCUAUCUUUAGUUGCCAGCACAUUAUGGUGGGGACUCUAAAGAGACUGCCUGCGCAAGCAGUGAGGAAGGUGGGGAUGACGUCAGGUCAUCAUGGCCCUUACGCCUAGGGCUACACACGUGCUACAAUGGGCGGUACAGAGGGUCGCUACCUGGUGACAGGAUGCCAAUCUCAAAAAGCCGCUCUCAGUUCGGAUCGAAGUCUGCAACUCGACUUCGUGAAGCUGGAAUCGCUAGUAAUCGCGUAUCAGCAAUGACGCGGUGAAUA